AAUGGACUAUCUAAUUAUGCUAAGCCUUUUAAUGAAAAAAAGUAUAACAAAAGGAGGGGUUUUGGAUUUUGGUACAUUGGUUUCGAUGAAAUCAAUCCAGAAUGUGGCGAACCGGUUUACCAUUGUGGAUGAGAACCGGAAUCUGAACCGGUUCGUAGAAUCUUGUUCGUUCUCUUCUUCUCGUAUAAACAAUUGAUGAAAACUGAAAUACAUUUUAGAAGCGGAUCGGAGUCGUUGAUCACGCUGGAGUCUAUUCGGGAACCUACGAUGAGGAUUACGUCGCUUCUGUUGGUUGCAGCGCUGAAGGAAUUUGUAGAGAAAAUCAAUUGCGGAAGAGGAAGGAGAGAAGCAGCAACGAUGAGGAUGAUGAUAAACACUAUGGGCUUUUAAUGUGUAAUGUAUGCUUUUAGGCCCAAAAUAACCCAAUAAUAGACACUAGGAUUUAUUUAUCAAAGUGUAACAUUAUGGGCUUUUAUGUGUAAUGUGUGCCGUAAUGUAUUUUUUCUUAUUUGCGAUGAGAGUACAUCAUAUUUGAAUGACAAAUUG